CCUACGGGAGGCAGCAGUGAGGAGUAUUGGUCAAUGGACGAGAGUCUGAACCAGCCAAGUAGCGUGAAGGAUGACUGCCCUAUGGGUUGUAAACUUCUUUUAUAAAGGAAUAAAAUGAGGCACGUGUGCUUUUUUGUAUGUACUUUAUGAAUAAGGAUCGGCUAACUCCGUGCCAGCAGCCGCGGUAAUACGGAGGAUCCGAGCGUUAUCCGGAUUUAUUGGGUUUAAAGGGAGCGUAGGUGGGUUGUUAAGUCAGUUGUGAAAGUUUGCGGAUCAACCGUAAAAUUGCAAUUGAUACUGGCAGUCUUGAGUACAGUUGAGGUAGGCGGAAUUCGUGGUGUAGCGGUGAAAUGCUUAGAUAUCACGAAGAACCCCGAUUGCGAAGGCAGCUUACUAAACUGUGACUGACAUUGAUGCUCGAAGGUGUGGGUAUCAAACAGGAUUAGAUACCCGGGUAGUC
rnacentral:rRNA from 1 species